rnacentral:rRNA from 1 species
UACGAAGGGGACUAGCGUUGUUCGGAAUUACUGGGCGUAAAGCGCACGUAGGCGGCUUUGUAAGUCAGAGGUGAAAGCCUGGAGCUCAACUCCAGAACUGCCUUUGAGACUGCAUCGCUUGAAUCCAGGAGAGGUGAGUGGAAUUCCGAGUGUAGAGGUGAAAUUCGUAGAUAUUCGGAAGAACACCAGUGGCGAAGGCGGCUCACUGGACUGGUAUUGACGCUGAGGUGCGAAAGCGUGGGGAGCAAACAGGG